rnacentral:lncRNA from 1 species
AAAAUAAGUCCUUUGUUAACAUCGAGUACAAACCGUUUUAGUAAAAGCGUCCAAUGCUCUACUAAUACUAACCCCGAGUCUAAACGAUCAUGUCAUCAGCAAUCAUCUGUAUCAUCAACUAGUCAAUCCAAUAUCAUCAUUACUCCUGUUAAUGUAACCAGUUCCACGAAUAAUCAUCCCAGUGUUAAUAACGUUAGCAACACUUCUGCUUUCACGCACACUGCUAACAAUACCAAUGCAGAAAAUUUGAAUGGAUCAAAUAAGCAGAGACUUGUUACAUCAUCACAUCAGAAUAACUCGUUAAAAGAUGCUUCUGUCAAUUCAUCUUACUCUGACUCGUCAACAACAAACAUGACUAGGAAACUACAUCGAAAACAAACAGAAAUUAAUAAUGCUUCUGUGUUGAACAAACAUAAAUCCCAAUCAAGUAGAGUUAGAUAUCCGCAG